ensembl:lncRNA
UCUCCUUUUUUUUCACCUCACUCUCUCUUUCACCUUUGCCUUUCUUCCUCUCUCUCUCUCCCUCUUUCUUCUUGCCCUGUUCUUCCGCUCUGCCCAACUCGUUCUUCACUUCUAUUUUUCCGUCUUUUUGAACUUCUUUCUUUCACGUUUUCUCUUUUUUCCUUUCCGUUUCCUCCCUCAGUCUCUUUUAUGCACCUUUAUCGUUUCCCCCCUAUCGAUCUCUCUCUCUUUCUUUUCUUUUUCUGCCUCAUUUUAUUCUUACUCUAAUUUUUCCAUCUCUUUUCUCUCUCAUCUCUCUUUCAUUCUACGCCUGUCCUUCCCUUUUUCUUACUUUCUCUCUUUUCAUUUCCCCCAUCCUUUUUUCUUAUUCUCCUCCACUUUCUAAUUCGUUUCCCUCUGUCCCACUGUUACGCACCUCUAUCCUCUCUCCCGCUAUCUCUCUUUCUUUCUUUUCCUUUUCUACCACUCUCCCCAUGUUACUCUUGUUAUUAUUUCUCCAUUGCCAUGUUUGUUUUAUGUUUCUCACUUUAUCUUUUUUAAUCAUCUCUCCCUUUAUUUGUCGUCCCUUUAAACCCCCCCUGUGCUUUCCCUUCAUCUAUCUCUCUCUCCGUCUUUUUUUUUUUUAGCAAUUUAAUAUUUCCCUUUAUCUCACUUUCUUUUUUCCCCUCUUUUCAGUCGCCCUCCAUUCCUGUCUUAUCCUCUUCACCUUUUCCGAUCUUUCUCUCUCUACCUCCUUUACACACUCAUCUUUUUCUUCCUCUCUCUCACCUUCUCUCUUCCUUCUGUCGUUUUCCUACCUCUCCUCCAUUUAUCCCUCUCUUAUUUUCUGUUAUCACUGUUUAUCUCUCUUUCAUUCUUCAUCUCCAUCUCUCAUUCUUUUCUCCCCUUGUCUUUCCUCGCUCUCUCUAAUCCUCUCUCCGAUUUUCUGUUUUUUAUUUAUUCUCUAUUAUCUUUCUUUCUCUCUCUCUCCUGCUCCCUCUUUUAUUUACUCUUAUUUUCUCCCCCAUGUCUCCUUAUAUUCCUCUCCCCCAUCAUCAUCCUCUCUUCCCCCACUGAUGCGCUGAUGUGUACAGCACAAAGCCAGACAUCAUGUCCUCAUCA